rnacentral:rRNA from 1 species
GACGAACGCUGGCGGCGUGCUUAACACAUGCAAGUCGAGCGGAAAGGCCCUUUCGGUGGUACUCGAGCGGCGAACGGGUGAGUAACACGUGCGUAAUCUUCCCUUCACUUGGGGAUAACCUCCGGAAACGGUGGCUAAUACCCGAUACGACCAUUCUUCUCAUGAGGUGGGGGUGGUAGGUUGUGCGGUGGGUGAUGUGCUCGCGGCCUAUCAGCUUGUUGGUUGGGUAAUGGCCUACCAAGGCUUCGACGGGUGGCCGGCCUGAGAGGGUGACCGGCCACAAUGGGACUGAGACACGGACCAGAAUCCUACGGGAGGCAGCAGUGGGGAAUAUUGGACAAUGGGCGGAAGCCUGAUCCAGCAACGCCGCGUGAGGGAUGACGGCCUUCGGGUUGUAAACCUCUUUCACAUGUGACGAAGCGAAAGUGACGGUAGCAGGAGAAGAAGCACCGGCCAACUACGUG